rnacentral:rRNA from 1 species
GACGAACCCUGGCGGCGUGCUUAACACAUGCAAGUCGAACGGUGAACUCCGCUUGCGGGGGGAUCAGUGGCGAACGGGUGAGUAACACGUGGGCAACCUGCCCUCAGCUCUGGGAUAACUCCAAGAAAUUGGGGCUAAUACCGGAUAUGACCGCUGCCCGCAUGGUCUGGUGGUGGAAAGAUUUAUCGGCUGGGGAUGGGCCCGCGGCCUAUCAGCUUGUUGGUGGGGUAGUGGCCUACCAAGGCGACGACGGGUAGCCGGCCUGAGAGGUGGACCGGCCACACUGGGACUGAGACACGGCCCAGACUCCUACGGGAGGCAGCAGGGGGGAAUAUUGCGCAAUGGGCGAAAGCCUGACGCAGCGACGCCGCGUGGGGGAUGACGGCCUGCGGGUUGUAAACCUCUUUCAGCAGGGACGAAGCGAAAGUGACGGUACCUGCAGAAGAAGCACCGGCCAACUACGUG